GAUGAACGCUCGCGGGAGGCCUAACACAUGCAAGCCGAGCGGGAUUUGUUGGUUAGCUUGCUAACUAACAAUGAGAGCGGCGUACGGGUGCGUAGCACGUGUGCAACCUGCCUUUAUCUGGGGGAUAGCCUUUCGAAAGGAAGAUUAAUACCCCAUAACAUAUUGAUUGGCAUCAGUUAAUAUUGAAAGCUCCGGCGGAUAGAGAUGGGCACGCGUAAGAUUAGCUAGUUGGUGAGGUAACGGCUCACCAAGGCUGCGAUCUUUAGGGGGCCUGAGAGGGUGAUCCCCCACACUGGUACUGAGACACGGACCAGACUCCUACGGGAGGCAGCAGUGAGGAAUAUUGGACAAUGGGUGAGAGCCUGAUCCAGCCAUCCCGCGUGAAGGACUAAGGACCUAUGGUUUGUAAACUUCUUUUAGACAGGGAUAAACCUACUCUCGUGAGGGUAGCUGAAGGUACUGUAUGAAUAAGCACCGGCUAACUCCGUG
rnacentral:rRNA from 1 species